UCGAACUCAGAAAUCCGCCUGCCUCUGCCUU
rnacentral:piRNA from 1 species